UCCCUGGUGGUCCAGUGGUUAAGACUCCACAUUCUCACUACUGAGGGCCCAGGUUUGAUCCCUGGUCAGGGAA
rnacentral:tRNA from 1 species